UCAACUGAUGACUGAUGACCGAUGAU
rnacentral:piRNA from 1 species